GCUCCGGUAGUACAGUCAGGUUAAGUACGGCGGCCUCUCGAGCCACAGACCCGGGUUCAAAUCCCAGCUGAAGCGCCA
rnacentral:tRNA from 1 species